rnacentral:piRNA from 1 species
CAGCAGGUACGGCUACAAGAUGUGUC